GAUGAACGCUGGCGGCGUGCCUAAUACAUGCAAGUCGAGCGAACAGACGAGGAGCUUGCUCCUCUGACGUUAGCGGCGGACGGGUGAGUAAUACGUGGAUACCCUACCUAUAAGACUGGGAUAACUUCGGGAAACCGGAGCUAAUACCGGAUAAUAUAUUGAACCGCAUGGUUCAAUAGUGAAAGACGGUUUUGCUGUCACUUAUAGAUGGAUCCGCGCCGCAUUAGCUAGUUGGUAAGGUAACGGCUUACCAAGGCAACGAUGCGUAGCCGACCUGAGAGGGUGAUCGGCCACACUGGAACUGAGACACGGUCCAGACUCCUACGGGAGGCAGCAGUAGGGAAUCUUCCGCAAUGGGCGAAAGCUUGACGGAGCAACGCCGCGUGAGUGAUGAAGGUCUGCGGAUCGGAAGACUCUGUUAGUAUGGAAGAACAAAUGUGUAAGUAACUAUGCACGUCUUGACGGUACCUAAUCAGAAAGCCACGGCUAACUACGUG
rnacentral:rRNA from 1 species